rnacentral:rRNA from 1 species
UGUGUAGGUGGCCUGUUAAGUUCCGUGUGAAAUCUCCCGGCUCAACCGGGAGGGUGCGCGGGAUACUGACGGGCUAGAGUGCGGGAUGGGAGAGUAGAAUUCCUGGUGUAGCGGUGAAAUGCGUAGAUAUCAGGAGGAAUACCGGUGGUGUAGACGGCUCUCUGGGCCGCAACUGACGCUGAGACACGAAAGCGUGGGUAGCAAACAGGAUUAGAUACCCUGGUAGUCCACGCCCUAAACGAUGCAUAUUUGGUGUAGGUCAUUCAGUUGAUCUGUGCCGGAGCUAACGCGUUAAAUAUGCCGCCUGGGGAGUACAGUCGCAAGGCUGAA